rnacentral:rRNA from 1 species
UUGCCUACGGGUGGCAGCAGUGGGGAAUCUUGCACAAUGGGGGAAACCCUGGUGCAGCGACGCCGCGUGAACGAUGAAGCCCUUCGGGGUGUAAAGUUCUUUCGACAGGAACGAUAAUGACGGUACCUGAAGAAGAAGCUGCGGCUAACUACGUGCCAGCAGCCGCGGUAAUACGUAGGCAGCAAGCGUUGUUCGGAAUUACUGGGCGUAAAGAGUGUGUAGGUGGUUGGCUAAGUUUGGUGUGAAAUCUCCCGGCUCAACUGGGAGGGUGCGCCGAAAACUGGCUGACUAGAGUGUGGGAGAGGGACGUGGAAUUCCUGGUGUAGCGGUGAAAUGCGUAGAUAUCAGGAGGAACACCUGCGGUGUAGACGGCGUCCUGGACCAUUACUGACACUAAAGCACGAAAGCGUGGGGAGCAAACAGGAUUAGAUACCCCGGUAGUC